AGUAGACUGACUCGGCGCCUCAU
rnacentral:miRNA from 1 species